CCUGAGAAACCAAGAAAAUAAUGUCAAUGGGGAGAGACCCACAGCACGAGAAGAAACACGAGUAGUCUUAUCAGCUGCACAUACACGGUCUCAGUUAGUGCUCGGAGGACCCCAAGGAAGAUGGCAUCACUAAGCUCCAUUUUCAGAGGGGUUACACACCUUGUCUGCAAAGCACUAGGAAGUGCAAAUGCUACAGUCUAAUCAACACCUGCAUCAGUCAGCCUAAAGGAACAGAGCCAUCGACUACAUUGAACGUGGAAGCAGAUAAAACCUGAGUCGUCCACACAGUGCAAAAGAUCAGAGACUCUGACAGGGUGCAGACUCUCCCGUCUCUUUACGUCUCAUCACCAUCACUGACAACUGAAGCAGCAGCUCCUAAGCCAGGUCCAAGACAGAGCCAGGCAUGACCCCUCAGAGCUCGUGGUGGAGGUAAAGCAAAUUCCAUUCAGCAGCGCGUGCCUCAAAGCCUGCACUCUACACAGGAGCAUCUGUGACGUAACAGCAGCGACUGGAAUGCAAAGUACACUUCCCACAGGAAACAGGUAGCGAGUUUAAGCCUGCUGAUGGGGACUUGCUUAAGACUGCUGAAGGUGACCCCUAAGGUCCUAAGAAGCAGCGCCUCUGUUUAUCCAGUGAGUAAAAGCCUAGGAGGUGCAGUGGAGGGGCCAGGGCUGGAAGGAGGAAAUGGAAGAGCAGGAGCUGGGGGAGGGCUCUUCUCCUUCCUUCAGGAUCAGCCUCUGCAGUCCCUGCACUCCCAUCAGUGCUGCUCCCCUCCCGAUAUGUGGAUAUGUGUAGUGUGUCUUAUGUGUUUGUGUUGUGCAGUGUGUGUACAUGUGUGUGUAGUAUGUAUGUACAUUUUUUUUUUUUUUUUGGUUUUUCAAGACAGGGUUUCUCUGUAUAGCCCUGGCUGUCCUGGAACUCACUCUGUAGACCAGGCUGGCCUCGAACUCAGAAAUCCACCUGCCUCUGCCUCCCUAGCGCUGGGAUUAAAGGCGUGCGCCACCACGUCCGGCCUGAACUGAAGGCUUUCAAACACUUACAAUAAGGUUUUCCUACUAGAAGACAAAGUUUCUUUUCCAGGUUUUAGAUUCAUUACCCGUUCCCUCAGCCAUUUAAAAGCUAUAUAGAAUUAUCUAUCUUGUUCAUAUCUAAAUAUUUGGAGAACUUCCUCAGUAUAGGGCCCGAACAUUUUAGGAGUCUGUGUGCACAGCCAGCUCUGGAGAAAUUGCUUAGUCCUGCCUACUGUGCUUGCCUUUAAUGGCCAAUGUGCACCCUCGGACCGCCCAGGGAGAGAGCACUCAAGCAGCACUGCGUGCAGCAGGCUGCCUGUGGGAACUUCUGACCGGGUUCUGUGCUGUUUGCUUUACUGGACCCGGGAACCCUGAGCUUACUGUGGGUGGCACCCUUUCCUAGGCGGAGGUGGAGAGCUGAGCUGUGUGAUAACGUGUGAGUGUGAGCGAGCCAGCACGUGUGUGAUAACGUGUGAGUGUGAGCGAGCCAGCACGUGUGUGAUAACGUGUGAGUGUGAGCGAGCCAGCACGUGUGUGUGCUCAUUCCUCCCUGCUGCUGAGUUGACAGCAGACAUGUCUGAAGCUCCUGCCUUGACCGCUCUUUCUCCCUACCUGCCUUUUCCUCGGAUUCCUUUGGUCUCUGUUUUGUUUUUCUCACAGCAACAGAAACAAAAAGAGGACACAUACACCAAGACGUGCCCACCAACCCACCCACCCACAGCCACACAGUUCCAAACACAGGGACACAGGCUUUACCCGACCAACUGCGUCAAGUGUAACGCUGUGAGGUAUGUUGAACUUGGCAGGUCCUGUCCCAUUCUCUCCACGCAGCCAGAGGAUCAUGAAAUCUAUAAAUACACGUGAACAGUGAUAUGAAUAGUGAAACAUAUGCAUUUCCAUGUUGAUUUUGUCUUGCAAACUACAAAAGAAAUGUAUCACACACUGAGGCCUUGAAUAUUCCCUGGCUUUGUCUGUCUGUCUGUCUGUCUGUCUAACUCAUGCUCCUUCAGUCUACCGCUUCAUUAGCUCAACCUGAGCUGCUCUGACCUCAAGGGCACUGCUCAGAGUUCCUACACCGUUUCCUUCAAACUAGUUCCCUUUGUACCAAAAAAAAGCUCAUUUUUGCUCAAUUUGUUUUUCUCUUCCCGAGACAGAGAAUCAUAUUGUGUAGUCCUGACUGGCCUUGUCCAGUGUCGUUCAGGCUGGCCUCAGACUCCUAGCAGUGCUCCUGGAAGGCAGGAAUGACAAGUGAGUGCCAUAGCACCCGCUACGGUGGAUAAACGUUUAUGGCCUCCCUCUGGUCACUAGAGGGACACACUAGAGCCUAGUGGAUUGAUCUCUCACAAGACUAGUCCACGCCUAGCACACUGUACCUGGGAACGUGGCCUCAGACCACAUGAAGGAGAGCUCGGGGGAGGAAAGGAAGGGCUCACCCUCGGAGCCUUCAGUGGGAAUAUCACCUACCCUUUGUAUUUCAGGUUCUGUGACUUCUGGAUUCCCAAACCAUGACAAUAAAUUCCUCUUGUCUAAAGUCACCUUCUUUGUAGCCAUGGAGCAAGUGUGUCUGUCCCUGACUUUGCUGCUUCUUGCUUUUACAGAAUCUCUGGAUGCCUGCUUUACCUCCUGUGUUAGAGACCACGUUCACCCCGAAGGACAGACUUGCCAGAAAUAACUCCCAGCAUUUUGCUUAUUUUAAAACGCAUUUGGACUAUCUCUGACUUCCUGAAAACCCCUCAGACUGCUAGCAGAGCACAACUCUGAGAUCCUCAGAGCAGCUUCAAUGGCCGCCACCUUUCCUUCUGGCCGCUGAGAAAGCCAUGCUGUUUCCAUUCCAGCUCAGGGCUCCCAUGGACCUGGACACCACUGGCCCUGCUGGCCCUGUCUACAGCUCAGCCAAGGGUGGCCUCUUCAGGAACUCUGCUGUGCCUCUCCAAUUCCGGUUUGCCUUCUGGUUACUAUCCUAGCUUGAAAGUCUUUGUCACAGAUGAGUUUAAUUGUUCUGUUAGGAACAGACUUGCUGCUGUGGUGGCCACAGAGGGCCUAGUUAGAGCCUUACUGUUAGCCUGCAGGAGGCCUGCCAGGGAUCUCUCGCUUCCUGACUUCCCCACAAUAAACAGGACAGAAAAUCUCCAGAAGUUCUUUAAAUUUCACACCACCUCGGUCCCUGUGAGGAUCUCCUGGCCUCCGGUUGGUAAUCCCACCAAUGUGAUUUAGGUGGAGGUUUGGUCCCUGGCUAUAUAUUGUAAUGCUAAAUUCUGUUCCCCAAGGUCGAGUCACCUAAAGCCGAUGGAAUUCUCACCUAUACCAGCUUUUCUUAUGCAAGCCUUGCUCCUUAAUUUAAAACUAUUUGGUUGAAUAAAGAUGCCUACAACCUGUA